rnacentral:rRNA from 1 species
CCUACGGGCGGCUGCAGUGGGGAAUAUUGGACAAUGGGGGGAACCCUGAUCCAGCCAUGCCGCGUGUGUGAAGAAGGCCCUCGGGUUGUAAAGCACUUUCAGUGAGGAAGAACGCCUGGUGGUUAAUACCCAUCAGGAAAGACAUCACUCACAGAAGAAGCACCGGCUAACUCCGUGCCAGCAGCCGCGGUAAUACGGAGGGUGCGAGCGUUAAUCGGAAUUACUGGGCGUAAAGCGCGCGUAGGUGGCUUGAUAAGCCGGUUGUGAAAGCCCCGGGCUCAACCUGGGAACGGCAUCCGGAACUGUCAAGCUAGAGUGCAGGAGAGGAAGGUAGAAUUCCCGGUGUAGCGGUGAAAUGCGUAGAGAUCGGGAGGAAUACCAGUGGCGAAGGCGGCCUUCUGGACUGACACCGACACUGAGGUGCGAAAGCGUGGGUAGCAAACAGGAUUAGAUACCCCAGUAGUC